AUUGAACGCUGGCGGCAGGCCUAACACAUGCAAGUCGAACGAGUGGCGGACGGGUGAGUAAUGUCUGGGAAACUGCCUGAUGGAGGGGGAUAACUACUGGAAACGGUAGCUAAUACCGCAUACCAUCGGAUGUGCCCAGAUGGGAUUAGCUGGUAGGUGGGGUAAAGGCUCACCUGGGCGACGAUCCCUAGCUGGUAUGAGCGGAUGAACGGCAACACGGGAACUGAGACACGGUCCAGACUCCUACGGGGGGCAGCAGUGGGGAAUAUUGGACAAUGGGCGAAAGCCUGAUGCAGACAGGCCGCGUGUAUGAAGAAGGCCUUCGGGUUGUAAAGUACUUUCAGCGGGGAGGCGGUACCCGCAGAAGAAGCACCGGCUAACUCCGUGCCAGCAGCCGCGGUAAUUC
rnacentral:rRNA from 1 species